GCAUAAAGGAUCUUCAAAAAUGAUAAUAGUCUCGAUUUAAAUUCAGUGGGUCUCACCCUAUGGUCCAGGCUGGAGUGCAAAGGCAGAAUCUCAGCUCACUACAACCACCUCCUACCUAACUGAAGAGAUCCUCCCGUCUCAAGAGUCCUGACUGGCUGGAACUACAGCCAAGAAGAAAUGUAAAUGUACCCACUCCCACUGUGACAAAUAAUCAGUUCCAUAUAUGCAAACCCAGAAGCAG